UAGGGAAUCGUCCGCAAUGGACGAAAGUCUGACGGAGCAACGCCGCGUGAGUGAGGAAGGCCUUCUGGUCGUGCAGCUCUGUUGUGAGGGAAGAAGCGGUUCCGAUCGAAUAGGGCGGUACCUAGACGGUACUUCACCAGAAAGCCACGGCUAACUACGUGCCANCAGCCGCGGUAAUACGUAUGUGGCAAGCGUUGUCCGGAAUUAUUGGGCGUAAAGCGUGCGCAGGCGGCUUCUUAUGUCUGAUGUGAAAUCUGGGGGCUCAACCCUGAGCGGCCAUAGUAAACUGGCGAGCUUGAGUGCACAUAAGGAGAGUGGAAGUUCCGCGUGUGUAGGUGAAUUGCGUAGAGAUGUGCCAGUGGGAAGGCGACUGUUUGUCUGUAACUGACGCUGAGGCGCGAAAGCGUGGGGAGCAAACAGGAUUAGAUACCCUGGUAGUCCACNCCGUACACGAUUAGUGCUAGGUGUUAGGGGGUUCGAUGCCCGUAGUGCCGAAGUUAACACAUUAAGCGUACCGCCUGGGGAGUACGGCCGCAAGGCUG
rnacentral:rRNA from 1 species